rnacentral:rRNA from 1 species
AGCGAACGCUGGCGGCAGGCCUAACACAUGCAAGUCGAACGGAUCCUUCGGGAUUAGUGGCGGACGGGUGAGUAACACGUGGGAACGUGCCCUUUGGUUCGGAACAACUCAGGGAAACUUGAGCUAAUACCGGAUGUGCCCUUCGGGGGAAAGAUUUAUCGCCAUUGGAGCGGCCCGCGUCUGAUUAGCUAGUUGGUGAGGUAAAGGCUCACCAAGGCGACGAUCAGUAGCUGGUCUGAGAGGAUGAUCAGCCACAUUGGGACUGAGACACGGCCCAAACUCCUACGGGAGGCAGCAGUGGGGAAUCUUGCGCAAUGGGCGAAAGCUUGACGCAGCCAUGCCGCGUGAAUGAUGAAGGUCUUAGGAUUGUAAAAUUCUUUCACCGGGGACGAUAAUGACGGUACCCGGAGAAGAAGCACCGGCUAACUCCGUGCCAGCCGCCGCCGUAAAAC